UUGAACUCCCUUUUUUUUUUUCGUUCCUUGCAAUGUCAUUCUAUAAAACUUUUCAUAUUCAUCCCCUCGUUAAGCCAAGCCCAAGUCUUUUAUCCCUGAGUAUUAUGUGAACUAAUCUCAAGCCGGAUACUUGGUAGGGAAAUACGAUGGGCGUGAUUGUCAUGAGAAUGACAGAAAUUACAAGUCAUGAUGUGAAAAUGGUCUUGUGUAACAAACUCAUACCAACUGUUCAAAAAGAGAAACAAUAUGUUGAAUUUGCUCAACAUUUGGGAGUAGUCAAAAGGAAAUGGUAUAUACAGAAUUGGUUUAAUUUAGUGGAAACAAUGUGGAGGUGGUGAAAGAAAAAAAUAGUUUUAACAUCUAUAACUACUCCAAAUCAAGUUGAUCUUCAUACCGGGAAUUAUUCAAAAUAUUUCAAAGUCAUGAUAAAAACUCCAACCCUUUAUCUGUCUUGGAAGUAGGAAAAGGUCUUUUGAAAAGAGUUGCUAGAGAAAAGAGAUAGCUAGGAGUGAGAACAUAAGAUGAUAGUAUCUUUGAUGAAAAAAAACAGGAAAGGUUUUGACUGGUUAUGUCAUGAAAGUAUGAAAAAGCUUGCAAGGAAGCAGAAUAAUUUCAGCUAUUCAUUUACAGGAUCAAAGAAGUCGUAACAGUUUUUAAAAAAAUACUUUUAUAAUCCAUAACAUCCGAAAGUUGAGGUUGUUGGAGAUCAUUCUAUUCCAGUAUAAAUGAAAGAAAUCGAAUAAGCAGCAAGUAUUAAACUAAUAAUAAAUAAGAUUCUUAAGAUAACUAAAAUCGAUGGUCUAGCGAUUGAAGGUUGUGUGUUUUAAGGCCAAACAGAAUUGAGUAUAUCAACGUAACCUCGGAAAAAAGAUUAAAGGUUGCUCUAUAGAUAGGCCAGUUAAUAGAGUAAGAAUAAAGAGAUAAAUCGAUAGUAAAGUCUAACAUCGUUGUAUGAUUAAAUAUGUAAUAAGAUAGCAUUUUUUAAACUAAAGUAAUGCAGUUUAUAGCUAGCUUACUUUUCUCACAGUUAUUUUUUUCAAAUUCUUCUAUAUUACACUGUUGGAUCCCCAAUGACUGGAUCAUAUUUUAUAUAAACUAAAACGAUUCAUUUCUUGAUAACUAAUUAAAGGGUUGGUCAAAAGGUCCAAGUGAGAGGUUGAAGCCAAGCUCGUAGGGCUAGAGUAACUGGUUUUAUUCAAGGGAAAGUUGGAGACAUCUAGAGGGUCCAAAGUUCACCUUUUAGGAAUCAGAGAUGAUAUAUAAAGGACUUUGGAUGGACAUAAAAAUGGGAUUUUUCUAUAGAGAAAUCCUAACUUUCUGAAACUAUAAAACUGAUGUUUCUUUAAAAAUAUAUAAGUAGAUAGUUCAAUGAUUUAUGAAUUCUCAAGAGACUUUUUCGUGCUUUUCCAUCGACAAUGUUUCUCUUGGCAACGUUUGGUGUUAUAACUUUGAAGGGAUUGUGUGUGGUUCGACUACUGAGUAGACAUAAAAUAAAGAGCUAAUAAAGGUUAGAGAGAAAGAAAUCGAUGUGACACGUGAGUUGUACCAGGAAAUCGGUAGAUACCAAGGACUCUAGUAUUAUAUUACAUCGUCAUCGUUCUUUUAAGUGGAGUAAAAACGUCUGACUAUAAACUGCAUUCAAUCUUUUUAGUCAAGGAUAUGGCUUUUGAAAUAAACAAGAUUUCAAGUACCAAUAGAAGAUUGAAAUAAAUAUAUAACAUCAAUAAAACUAUUGGAGAGUGGUGUUUAGAUAUCAAGAACUCAACAAUAUCAGUUACCAAAUCCAAAACAAGAAACUCAAGUUGGAAACUUCGAAAUGGGUGCCAGUUGAUUCUGGACCUGGAAGUUGGAUACUUUUGACUUCUCAAAUAUAAAAUAAAAACUAAAAAGGAUAACGAAACCUAGUUGAUAUAAAAUUAAGCCUUUGAAAUUCAAAUGAUGCUGAAUAGCAGUAGGAAAGGAAAAAAAAAUUUAAGAAUUUAUGUUUAAGUUAUAGUACUUCUUUGUAAUCGUGAUAUAACUGUCGAAUAUCAAGAAGAGUAUUACAAAGCAAAAGAAUUUUCACACUAAUACUAAGCUUCGUAAAUAUUCUUAUAGAAGAGUGCGUUUAAAAAUUUACUCGAAGAAAUGUCUUCCUUCCUCAAACUAGUAAAUACUUUCUAUCUUUUUUUUUUUGUGAAGAAUAAAAAAAACAUUUUUUCAUCUUGUUUUGUACUUCCAAGUUUUCUUAAAAGAAAUAUUAAUUGAGAAAAAAGUAU